UGAAAACGUGUACAUACACGUGUUGGAACACGUAUACCGAUCGCACACGUGAACGUUGAACAAUGUAAGUACAAGCUAUGAAUUGUCCAAUAAAUUGUCCACCACGCGCUCUGCGCGUCCCCAGUUGCGGUCAAUAUCGCGUUCUCUUAGAAAUAAAUACUUCACCACCGUGGGAACACACGCACUCCCCUUCUGUCUUUCCUGCGCUGUCCAACAAUCUAUAUCGUAUAUACUUUCUUCCACUUCUUUGAAAAUUUACUCGCGGAAAGACUUCACGUGCGACUUUUCGUUCUACUCGACGUUUCAAAUGUUCCCGCCUUUUGCGAGUGGCUGGCUCGCAACACGCGAAACUUUAUCGCGAAUUUACGCUCUGUUGGAUUUUCGGUGAUUCUUUUUGACAGUUUUUCGCAUUGUUUCGACAUAUUUUACAUAUCUGUAUAUUUUUAUUUCUUUUUUUCGUGUGUGUUUGAAUUAGAAAUAAUGUUUGCUUGAAAGUCAUGUGAUUGGAAAGAAAUAUGAAAUAAAAUUUAUUUACGCGAUUGUAAAUUGGAGGUUAUGGUAAUAUGAUUAAAAAGUAGAAGAAAUAGAAGAUUGUAAUCGUAGAAAAUAUUAAUUGGAGAUUAAUUGUAAGAAAUAAAGAAUAUUAUUACGUACUUGAUGGCGCUUCGUACCAGCAUUUCCUGUUUCUUGGUUAACCCAUUUGGCCCAACACCACCGUUGAACGUCAUCCCAGCAGUUGGCCGGAAGGUGGUCGUGAAGUCGGUCCUGUUGCUGUAUAUCCCUCGAAGAUCCAUGUCCAACAUGUUUUCACCCUGAGGUGGAGUGACUGGUGGCAAUGGCUCCUGUUCCUUCGGUUGCUCUGCACUGCCAGCCUGAACAAGAAGGCAAAUUAAAAAUGAUCAUCUCGUCUCCUGUAUAGAAAUACGUAGAGCUUAACCUUGAACAGUUCUCCACUGUUUGGCACGACGGUGUCCAGCGUGGCGCUGAACUCCAUCAAAGGCUUCAUGAUGUUCUUCAGAUGCUGGAUCUGCUCGCAAGCGAACAGGAGCCAGGAGCAGAACAACACGUCCAGCAGAUUCGCGUCUGCCAUGCAGAAUAUCAGCCAGUAAAAUUGGAAUAUCAAUGUUAAAAUAUGGGCCAUCCCGUGGCUGGGGUCGUAAGGGUACCAGGAACGCACCAUCAACCUUGGUAUCUGGAUAAAAACGCGCGCUUUCGAUUAAAAUUUAAACAGUCGCCAAUGAACGUGAUGGUGGUCCAAGAAAUGGCAGACAGCACUGUGGUCCCUAUAACCGCCAGCAGGAGUAUCCUCAUCUUCUUAACGGCUAUCUGAUGGUAUCGCGCGUUGCUCUCGGCGAAGAGGGGAUGGCUGUUCGGAUUGUUCCAUAUGCCAAGCGUUCUGUAGAACAAUUUACUCCUGACCGCGAAAUAAACGAGCUUGACCACGCUGUGCGUGAAGAAGAGCAUGGUGAUGGUGUUCGCGGUGAGAUCGUCCACGUCGUCGCUCUCCAUCAUUAGAUUGAUACCGCAGAAUCCGAACUGCAUCAGUAUCAGGACCAGGUGGACCUGGUUCCAUUUUUCUUCUUUUUUUAAGUCGUUCGAUUUUGAAUUGAAAAUGGUCGAUGGAUGGAAAUAUAAGUAAUAAUAUAAGUGUGAUAUAGAAUUUAGUGGUUAAUUUAGAGAUUGGAUAUUGCGGAGUUUGGUAACGAUGAUAUUUAGAUUAGUUUUCGUAGGCAUCGAACGAGAGAUAUACCGGGUGUCCUAUGUAAUUUUAUUAAGAAUAAAGGAAAUAUCUCGGUUAGUUUUGAAAAUGUUAAAAAAUGUUUGGGACAAAAGUUGAAUGGUUUCGAAAGGGGUGUAACGUGGUGUAAUCGUUUUUGUGCUUGGACGGUAGGUAGAGGUCGUGUGAAGGUCAACUUUGUUUUCUUAAAUGGAAUUACAUAUUUUUCGACGCGUAGGUAAAUGCAGUUUAUUACACUCUAUGAAAAACUAUUGGACCAUUUAUAGCGAAAAGUUAUUAUUUCGGGAGAUAUUUAAUUAUAUUUGAUUAUCCGCUAAAGUAAUAAUUUUUUAGUUUAUAUGGUCAAAUACUUUUUUAUAGGGAAUGUUUAGAUACAUCGAUUCAUAUAUUAAAAAAUACGCGAUUCUAUUUAAAAAAAUAAAGUUGAGCUUCACAACUUAUUUAUUCGUUCAUUUGAGAAAAAAUUAAUAGCAUCGGAAUAUAGUCCCCUUGAAAUCAUUCAACUUUUAUUUGAAACAUUUUUCAAUAUUAUGAAAAAUAAGCGAGAUAUUCUAAAUAUAAAGAUA